rnacentral:lncRNA from 1 species
GAAGGAACUCCUAAUAAUAUGUCUGAACAUGCUGAUGGAAGAGUUGAAACAAGAGAUGAGCUUCUACAAAAAAUAAUUGAUUCACGAAUUGACAAAGAUUUGAAAGCUUUAGUUAGUCGAUUGUCUAUUGCACCAACAACGCCGAAUAAUAACACGUUGGAACACCCGGCUCAGGUCUAGUUGAUUCUGGUAAUGGGGAAACCCCCAGCGAUUCACAAGAAGGAGAACC